UACGUAGGGUGCAAGCGUUAAUCGGAAUUACUGGGCGUAAAGCGUGCGCAGGCGGUUAUGUAAGACAGUUGUGAAAUCCCCGGACUCAACCUGGGAACUGCAUCUGUGACUGCAUAGCUAGAGUACGGUAGAGGGGGAUGGAAUUCCGCGUGUAGCAGUGAAAUGCGUAGAUAUGCGGAGGAACACCGAUGGCGAAGGCAAUCCCCUGGACCUGUACUGACGCUCAUGCACGAAAGCGUGGGGAGCAAACAGG
rnacentral:rRNA from 1 species